AUAUAUAUAUGCACACAUAUAAAUAGACAUUUAAAUUUAUUUUCUUGUUUUAAUUUUUAAUAAGGAAUUAAUCAUUUAAAAAUUGUGUUUGAAUACUAUUUGAUUUAUAUAAAUUAUAAAAUUAUAAAAUUGAAAUCAAGUCUAUUAUGCAGUCGAUACAAAAGCAUUCAUCAACAUCUCUAAGUUGCAUUUUGAAGUAAAGUCAAAUCCAAAGAAAUAUUUUUGACACACACAAGGAAAAAGUGAUGAAGAAAAAAAAAAAUACUGUAUACAAUAAUUAUAGUUAUAAUUAUAUAUAUAUAUAUAUAUAUAUCACUCUGAAUAAAACCCAAUAUGCUGAAAUAAGUGAGAGCAUAAGUUAAAUAUACCUUGAUUAUUUAGAUAAAUCAAAAGAUGUAUAAAAAAUCACUAUUAAUCAUUGUUUAUAAUUAGAAAAAAAUAAUUUUAUGUUUUAAGAAUAUAAUAAAUAAAUAUAUUUUACUUGUUCUCAUUAUGAUUUUCUAUUCUCAUGAUUCGAAUCUUCAACCUCAUGAAAUAAAUCGCUCAUCUUGGAUAUUGUCUUUUUAAUUAAUAAUAAUCACAUUUUAAUUUGAAUUCAGCAGGAUUUUUACAUAUAUUUUGGAUAGUAUCAAAAUAUUAGUGUGUGAAGUAAAAAAAACCUGUUUUUCUUGAAGACUCACAACAACAAAAAAAAGUUAUAAUGAGGUGAUGUCAAGUACAAAAAAAUAAAUUUAAGCAAAAUAAUUUACUUCUUCAAAACGAGCAAAAUAAUGUAAAUAAGAUUAGAACCAUUAAAAAAAAUGUAAGUAACAAAUAUAACUAUGAGAGAUAAUUUAGCACACCUUUUAUUAUUAUUAUUGUUAUUAUUAUUACCCUUGUUCUCUUAUGGAAUCAACACUUUAUAUUUUCUUAAAGGAUUUUGAAUUUGUACUUUCUCAUUCUAUCUUGAAAUAAUUUUACUAAUAAAGGUUACAAAAGUUAAAGUUAUAAAGACGUAAUUCUAACAAUAAAUGUCAAAGUAAUUUUUUUCAAUAAUAGUUUUACUGAUAUUAAACCAAUAAAAUUAAAAAAAAAUCUUUUCUUUAAUAUUGAUUUGCAAGUGUAGUUGGUAUUAUUUUAGAAACUAAUACAAGUAAUUUUAUUAAUAAUUUUAUCAUUUUGAAAGAAGUACAAGUAAAAUUCUAAAUAAAUUAUUGGAGUGAGUAUAUUCACACAUGCAUACACAUAUCAUUUGAUAUUGCACAAAAAAAUAUUUAUUUAUUGAGAAAUAU
rnacentral:lncRNA from 1 species